AAAUCUUUCUCUAUCUACAGCCGCCAGCCUGCGCAGACAUCAUUCAUCUUCUUACUUUUCUUCUUCCCAAGAUUGGGAACUAGACUUUUGUACGACCGCCACCAUAGAAAUGUCGACGUUGUCUACUAAUGGUUCGGAACAAGGAAAUGGGUGUAGGUGGCUAAGAUUCCAGUAUGAGAAGUGUUGGUGUCGGGAAAGAGCUUGUUUGAAAAUAGUUACCGAUUCGAGGCGAGCAUCGUACGGGAUGUUGUACUUUGUGUGCGAGAAGAAAGAAAAAAUUGGUGGGUGCAAUUUCUUCCGGUGGAGUGUUUGAGAGACUGCCCAACCGAAGGUCCGGCGGAGUGUUUGAGAGACUGUCCAACCGAAGGAAAAGUUCAAAGCAAUGGAAAUUUCAGUGAAGAAGGUAGAGGUAGAAGCAACGACAGAUUGAUUGUUUUACUUGCUUUUGGUGGUUUUCUUUUUGCACUUUUUGCCUUUCUGAUUACUUUGAUAAAGUAAUCAGUAUGUUGUGUUGUAAUGUAAUCAAAUAAAUUUUAGUAUAUUGCAUUGUUGACUA